rnacentral:rRNA from 2 species
UACCAGCACCCCGAGUGGUCGGGACGUUUAUUGGGCCUAAAGCAUCCGUAGCCGGUUCUACAAGUCUUCCGUUAAAUCCACCUGCUUAGCAGAUGGGCUGCGGAAGAUACUAUAGAGCUAGGAGGCGGGAGAGGCAAGCGGUACUCGAUGGGUAGGGGUAAAAUCCGUUGAUCCAUUGAAGACCACCAGUGGCGAAGGCGGCUUGCCAGAACGCGCUCGACGGUGAGGGAUGAAAGCUGGGGGAGCAAACCGG